rnacentral:rRNA from 1 species
GUGGGGAAUCUUCCGCAAUGGACGAAAGUCUGACGGAGCAACGCCGCGUGAGUGAUGAAGGUCUUCGGAUUGUAAAACUCUGUUGUUAGGGACGAAUGCACCGUGUUCGAACAGGUCAUGGUGUUGACGGUACCUAACGAGGAAGCCACGGCUAACUACGUGCCAGCAGCCGCGGUAAUACGUAGGUGGCAAGCGUUGUCCGGAAUUAUUGGGCGUAAAGAGCAUGUAGGCGGGCUUUUAAGUCUGACGUGAAAAUGCGGGGCUUAACCCCGUAUGGCGUUGGAUACUGGAAGUCUUGAGUGCAGGAGAGGAAAGGGGAAUUCCCAGUGUAGCGGUGAAAUGCGUAGAUAUUGGGAGGAACACCAGUGGCGAAGGCGCCUUUCUGGACUGUGUCUGACGCUGAGAUGCGAAAGCCAGGGUAGCAAACGGGAUUAGAAACCCCAGUAGUCC